AUGGCCGGAGGCGGAGGAGACGAGGAGGUGACGCUGCUGGGCCACUGGGGGAGCGCGUACGUGACACGAGUCCGGCUAGCGCUGCACCUCAAGGGCGUGCGGUACGAGUACGUGGAGGAGGACCUGCGCAACAAGAGCGACCUCCUCCUCCGCUGCAACCCCGUCCACCGCGCCGUGCCGGUGCUCAUCCACAACGGCCGCCCCGUCUGCGAGUCCCAGAUCAUCCUCCAGUACAUCGACCAGGCCUUCGGACCUCCCACUCUCCUCCCCGCCGACCCGCACGAGCGCGCGGUCGCCCGGUUCUGGGCAGCCUACGCCGACGACGUGCUGGGGGCGCCGUGGGAGAAGGCGUACAGGGCCCGCACCGAGGAGGAGCGGGCCGGGUGGAUGAGGCGGGUGGUGGCGGCCACGGACGCGCUGGAGCGGGGGCUGAGCGAGUGCACCGACGGGGGCAAGAAGGGCUGCUUCUUCGGCGGCGAGCGGGUCGGGUUCGUCGACGUCGUGCUGGGCGGCGUUGUCCCGCUGGUGCACGCCACCGUGGAGAUCUCCGGGGACAUGCUCUUCGGCGACGCCGGGAGGACGCCGCUGCUUGCCACCUGGCUGCAGCGCUUCGGCGAGCUCGACGCCGCCAAGGCGCUCCUGCCGGACGUCGACCGGGUCGUGGACUACGUCAGGAUGAUACACGCCAAGAACGCCGCUGUCAAGGCUUCUGCGAAUUAA
rnacentral:rRNA from 1 species